AUACGGAGGGGGCUAGCGUUGUUCGGAAUUACUGGGCGUAAAGCGCAUGUAGGUGGUGUGGCAAGUUAGAGGUGAAAGGCCUGGGCUCAACCUGGGAACUGCCUUUAAUACUGUCACGCUAGAGUUCGGGAGAGGGUAGCGGAAUUCCAAGUGUAGAGGUGAAAUUCGUAGAUAUUUGGAAGAACACCGGUGGCGAAGGCGGCUACCUGGACCGACACUGACACUGAGAUGCGAAAGCGUGGGGAGCGAACAGGAUUAGAAACCCGGGUAGUCC
rnacentral:rRNA from 1 species